rnacentral:rRNA from 1 species
UACGUAGGGCGGCAAGCGUUAUCCGGAAUUAUUGGGCGUAAAGAGCUCGUAGGCGGUUUGUCGCGUCUGCCGUGAAAGUCCGGGGCUCAACUCCGGAUCUGCGGUGGGUACGGGCAGACUAGAGUGAUGGUAGGGGAGACUGGAAUUCCUGGUGUAGCGGUGAAAUGCGCAGAUAUCAGGAGGAACACCGAUGGGCGAAGGCAGGUCUCUGGGCAUUAACUGACGCUGAGGAGCGAAAGCAUGGGGAGCGAACAGG